AAGACGCUAGUAAAAUAAGACAUUACAUUACUUUGUCAAGGUGAAAUCGUGGGUUAAACUCCCACGCGUCUUG
rnacentral:tRNA from 1 species